UACGAAGGGGGCUAGCGUUGUCCGGAUUUACUGGGCGUAAAGCGCGCGCAGGCGGAUUGGUCAGUCCGGGGUGAAAUCUCACGGCUCAACUGUGAGCGGUCCCCGGAUACUGCCAGUCUCGAGGUGUCUAGAGGAGAGCGGAAUUCCCGGUGUAGCGGUGAAAUGCGCAGAGAUCGGGAGGAACACCAAUGGCGAAGGCAGCUCGCUGGGACGGUACUGACGCUGAGGCGCGAAAGCGUGGGGAGCAAACAGG
rnacentral:rRNA from 1 species